rnacentral:lncRNA from 1 species
GAAGAUAUACUCAAUUUCUACUCUCUUCUAUCAGUCUUCUCACUCCUAUCUCUCAUGUCUCCUUUUCCUCCCACCAUUCCUGUCACCCACGCAGCACGCCAGAGCAGCAGUAGCUGUAGAGCUCGGCAUCAGCUCUCUUGCUGCUCACUUUGCAGCACCUCCCCGGCUCCCUAGUAACACUCUGCACCUACCAUCGAACUCUCUCAGGUUCGGUCAUCCCUGCUCCCUUGCAAAUCAGCGCCCCUCCACUCGGCUCUGCUACUGUGCCGUGCGCGCGAUUCCUCCGGCUUCCAUCGCUGCGUGCGUGCUCAUCUUCCGUCGCAUGCCACCUGCUCGAUAGAACGAGUAGUUUGAUCGUCCCCAUCUCCCCGUGGUUCGUCAUCGCCAAGUUUUCAGGUGUGUUUGUGCAGAGAUGCCAUUCAAAGUCGAUGAUCUAAUCGUCGCCACCAGCCACAAGCACCAGUUCCGUUGAACGUGAGAACGUCUUAAUCAGUUGUUGAGUUGAAAAUUGAUGUGUCGAUCUAUGGUUUGACAUAGUGUUUUCAACAUGUCUAUGUUCUGGUCGAGGCCCUAGAUAUGUGAUUGAAGAUCCUUUCUGGUGAUGAAAGUGAAAUCAGCGUGGCACUCGCCAAGCGCUCGAAAGAAGGUCUAGACUAGAGAACCAUGUCGUUUCACGUUUGUUGACUCGGUUUGGAUUAUGGUGAGCUGAUUCAUUGCUCUGGCUAUUGGGUCUAAUUAAUAGGAUUGGAUUUUAGAAAUAAAAGUACAGUGACAAAAAUUAUGGUAAUUUUUGAAUAACCUUGUUUUGGUCAUUUAAGCAUUUGGUAAAAUUUGGAGGCUAUUUGGAAGUCCUUUGCUCAGAAAGCCUUGUGAAGUCACAUAUAGGAUGAAUAAAUCCUUUUGGAAAAGAUGAAGUAAGUUUAUGGAUGAAAUCUAAUGUGUUCUAGUCCCCUGGUAGUCAAAGUUUAUAGGUGUAGCCUUUAGAGUUCCUCAUGUUAGAAGUCCCAUGUUGUUUGGUUAAUUUUGUCUACACCUUUAGAAAGGUGUAGUCUGGUAAUGCUUUUUAAUAUUUUUGUUGCAAACUGCAUAAACAUAAGCAUCCAUGAUCAUAUCAUUUAAUGUAGAGCUCCCAACAGAAGGAGUGAAGAUUCUAGAUGAAGUGGUAGCUGAAGAGGUGUUUGCUCCAGUGCCUGUUCAUCAAGUGGAUGGAGCCAUCUAACUGGUUAUUUUGAUAGAAGAAUCUAGAACCUCUUCUCUGCAACAAAAGGCAAGCCCGGUGCAUUUGCUCCUUCCUUGUGUUUUAAAUGCUUUAUCACAUUAUAUGAUGCAUUAGGUGAUUGGAGUUGGGUGAUAAACAAUUGAUGCAUUAACAUUCCAUGGAAAUUCCUGAAUCCUUGUUUUAUAAAAAGAAUUAUUACUGCUUAGAACUUAAAAAUCGUUUGUUUUUAAAAAAGAAUGAUGUGUAACACUGGUUACAGGCUUUUUGUUCAAAAAUCAAAGCAAACUUAAUGGUGAGUCCAUCAGGGCCCAGGUGGAUUCAUCAUCCGAAAAGAAUACCCCUGCCAGGUACCAAAAAUGGGAAAAUGGUUUGAAUAAAUUGAGACCAGACGCUAAGCAGAUAUGGUCGUCCAUCUGUGUCGAUUAAGGACCGUACAUUUGACUAGCCUGUUGUGGUUAAGACUUUGCAACUAGCCACAUACAUGAAGAGACAAUCGCACACUGGGAUUGGAGAGAUGGCGGGAGUAGCAUGUACCCUCCUGGCAUAGUAACACGCCUGGUAGGGUAAUGUACUCUCGGGUGGCGCGAACUUGUUCAUGUAGUGGAGGACUCCAUGGGAACGGCUCACAUAUGCAAGGGUUAAGUGCUACAUAUGUCGUGUGGUUAGAGAUCCCCAGCUGGGUAUAAUCGGUUCGAAUCGUCAUUGCUCCUCGGUUAUGGAGACUCAUCCCGGUGACCAUCAUCGUAGUUAGCAAGUGAAAUAUGAUUAUGGAUAAAAUUCAGCUACUAUAGGCCAAGUGCUUGAACUAGAUUAGGCAAAUCUAGAUUCAGGUAAAUACCUAACUUGUGAAUUAAAACUUGGCUUAGGGAUCAACUGGUAGUAAGUUUCUCUGCCAAAGGGGGUCUUUGAUAAUUGAUAAGCUUUACCUUGAGUCCCAAAUCUAGCAUACCCUUGAUAGUCUUUUUCUUUAGUCUAUUCCCUAUGUUGUUGCAGGAAGGGUUAUUGCUACCUUUAGCUCUUGAUAGUUGUUUUGUGUGGAGGUCUUGAAGAUUUUAAUACUUAGGUGUAUUUCUUCUGGAAAGGCUUCACCUUUCCCUAUUGUGUAAUAAGUUAUGCACUUUGAGUACUAUCAGGACUUGUAAUAAUUACAACUCUUUCUAUGAUGUAAAGCUUGAGAUUUGGAAUUGUAAAAUAUGUUUUGUAAAGUCUUCUGCUCUAUCUCCAAUGUAUGUAUGUAUCAAAGGUGAUUACUAUAAUAUACAUGUUUUGUGGGAGAUCUCUGGGAUAAUGAGUUCAAGUUGUUGAACUCGAUAGCCUUGUUAAGUUAUCUCGUACACGUGUACAACCAUAUGAGGCUGUUAAGGCAAGGAUUGGUGCAUGUGGGCCUGAUAACUUGGGAGGGCUGUCACAGUUCCCCACUAUUUAAAUGCCUAUCUAGAGCCGAAUGUCAAGAGCUGAUGAAAGAAAUACAUCCAG